GGCUUUAUGGCUUCAGGUUGCUGCUGUCUGCUGCUGCUUAAUAAAGAGACGAAAACAAAGAGCCGGCCACUGUGGAGGUGGUGGAUGGAGGAGGUCGCUAAACGGCUGUAUGGACCAGACACCACCAAGAAUCCCACGUCUCUCUCGUCCCAAUUUAGAUACGUCUAUAACAUAUACCCCAUUAACAUUCUGAGAUGUUCAUAUUCCAGUGUUCUGUUAACAUGGUGCGUAUUUUAAGAAUGUUCAAGUGGCGUUGAAUAUUGAAAGGUAAUUUAUCAUAAGUUCUGUAUUGGUCACAGAAAAAUUACAUUUCAGAAAAUGUUUGACAAAAAAUAAUUAGUAAUGAUUAAUGUAAUUUCAUGAGUUACAUUAUGUACUGUAGUUAUUUAAGAAACGAAAAAUGCUAAUAGCGUCUCUAAUGCGUAUUGUUAAAUGUUCAGUUAUUGCUUCCAUAUCCAUCAGUGCAAUAAAGCAGUAACUUUUGCCAU